UCUCUCUCAAAAAUAAACAUUAAAAAAUAUUUUUAAUAAACAAACAAACAAACAAACAAACAAACUGGAUGCAAGGCACAUGAGCUAUUCUUAGCAAAAUGUUCUGGCUGAAGAAUGUAAUGAUUAGUUAUCAAAACUACUUGAAGCUCUUCAAGAUAUCUUAUUGCUGCAAAGAUAAUCUGCACAUUUAGACAUCAGAGUCAGCCAGGCAUAUUUUCAAAACAUUACCACACUGGGCUUUAACUGGCCAGCUGGGGUUUGUACCAAAUCGCACCUAACCCCACUCCCAAAUUCAAGGGUAUCAGGGGUGAGAAGAAUACAGAAAUUUCUUACAAAAGGUCCAAGUCGAAAGGCAAAAGCCCUUGAAAAAGAAUGACCUUCUUAAAUUCUGAUAUACAGCCACUCUUCUUCCAUCUCUAUUUCGAAAGAGGAACAUACAUACAAGAAACAGGUGACACUGCUGGCCACAAGAGCUGGGAUGUGGUCACAGAAAUAUGAAAAAUUACAGAGGAAAACAAGAGUCACUCUGGAAUCUCAUCUAGGCGAGCUCUAUUUUGAAAGAAUUAAAAGCAGCCAAGAAAGUAUACUGGCUCUCCAAGGAAAAGAGGCCCUCGAAGCUCGGACAGGAAAUGAACUUGGUGCUCCACCAUCCACACACAGGACCCUGGGCAGGGACUUGGAACAGGUGUAGUGAGCUGCGAGAAAAGCCGCGUGUUACCCUUUUACCGAGGUCUAGAAAUGAACACUCUCCCGUUCCCUCCGUACAAACCUUCCUGGGAGUCCUCUAUCAGGAGACCCACCCUCAACGGAAACGGGAUGGCUCCAGUGCUUUUUGAGGUGGUGAUGCGGGGUGGGGGGAGGGUGGGGGGAGGGAUGGGACAGGGGUGCUCCAGAGAAGGCAAGAAGUCUCCCCUUCCGAGUGCUCUCCCGGCAAGAUGAAUUCACACCAGAAAAAGCACUGGCCCUUCAGCCCCUCAUUUUCUGGGUCAGAGAAAUUAACUCUGAGUCAAAUUACUCUUUCUCUCACCAGGGACCGAGGACUGCAUUUUAAUUUAAGCUAUUUUCUUUGGCCAUUUCAGUGGGGUUAUGAGGAAACAAGAGGACUUCGGAUCAAGAAGCAGCUUUCAAAACUCCUUAAAGUCAAAAUGCUUCAAGAAUAAGAAAGAAGGACAACUUCAACUCAUGUACCUUUACUUGUCCAGUCUCUUGAUUAGAAUAAAGAGGUUAUCAGCAAUGAAAAGUGGCUAAAUCAAGAGUUUCUUUUAUAUGUUGGAGGAUGCUGAGAUAAAGGCACAGGGGGUCUCAACUCUCCAUGCUUUUUUUAUUUGUAAUGUUUAUUUAUUUUAGAGAGAGAGAGAGACAGACAGAGUAUGAGCAGGGUAGAGGCAGAGAGAGAG